rnacentral:lncRNA from 1 species
ACCCCAUAAUCAACUCAGGUCAGUGUCUAGAUGAUAUUGUUGUGACUAGCACCAUCGAUUCAUGCAUAACUUGUUCUAAAAAAUCUUUGAUGCUUUAGAACUAGCUAGCUUAGGUACGUAGCCACUAGAUAGAUCAUAUAGGCGUAAUAAUGUAUAUAAUUUGGUCUCGGAACUGAAGGAGGACCCACUUGCAUGCACCGUUAGAAUCUGAUCCUCAAGGCACUGCGUACUAACGACAAGCGUUUGCGUUAACCAUGCGCCUAAUCGCCACUAGCUAGUAUUUUUCUAAAGUGGAUCGGCGCAUUACCUAGCGUGAAGAACAUUUGGGGCCAUCCUACAUUGAUAUAGACAUACAUAUUAGGUAGAGGGCAUACAUGAUUAUUAGGUUUUUUUCUGUGUGCUUCCACUAGAUCAUGACAAAACUCCAUCGUUGUUUCAGGACGGCAUGUAUAGUUGGCAUAUGGUUUCAUCCCGCUCGAUCUACAGUGGGUGAAGGAGCCAAAGCCAGUAAAGCAAAAAAUAAUGAUUUUAUUGGCUCUUAGUUUAUUUUUAGAGAAAUAUAAAAAUGAUUUUAUAUAUUAUUACAUAUCAAGGAGGAGCCGGAGUAGAGCCGGGCAGAGCUCCAUCAAAUAGGGGCCUACAACUUUGGGAGUUUGGGUGCACCUACAACAUUAGUAAACUCAAACACACAUCUAAAUAGG